AAAAGACAAAGGAGAGUCAUUGAUUUUGCCAGCAGCAUUUGGAUGCAGCCAAAAUCCAGAGAGCAGCUGAAAUUCCUCAGCAAAAGGGAACCCACACGGUGUCUGAUGCCUCCUGAAUUCCAUGGCGUGCCAGGGGAAGAGGCUCUGAUGUCUCAACACGUUGACACAAAAAUUCUUCACUGUGGCUGGGAGACAAGAGUGUGAAAAAACCAGAAGGCCCCUGAGGACUGAAUGGGCUGAGGAAAUGGGAGACACAGAAUUUGCUGGAAGAGGAAAGAGCUUUAUCAGACCAACUCAUACAAGACAGAAAACUGGAAAUCUGAAGGACAGAGAGACUUUAGGUGGUUUUCAUGUCUCAGGUGACAAGAUUUUUGCUCGCCAACACCAGAUACUCUGUUCCAUAUUUAGCAGCUAAUUUAGGCAACUCUUGUAUUUUUCUAUCAAGCCUGGUUUUCUCCACCAUCUCAGAAAGUGAGAAAUAUACAUCUUUGCUAUCCUUCCUUGUGCUUUUAAUUCCAUCUUUAGUUGUCUACUGCUGGUUUCCUUUCUGUCUGUCCAUGUCUGGGGACUUUGCCUACCCUGAGACUCACUGCUGAGCCCCUCCUUGAUGAACUCAAAUUUCCAUUCACUUUAAUGACACAGAAAUUACAUCUCCUCUCAUUCCUUCUGCUAUGCCUACAGCUUAAAAUCUCUCCAUUUCAAACCUUGGAGCUGUUUCUUUGGGAAUGUCUCAUGAAAUUUGUUGCAGAUGUCACAUGAGUGUAAGGUCAUAUUCCUUAUGCAAUGUAAAUAGGUUUUGGCAUUUGCAACUCAGGGAAAAGAUCCAAUUGCAUUGAAAGACAGAAAUAGAAAGUGAGGCUUAAAUUUUAAUGCAGGCAAUUAAAUUCCACUACCAGCAUUUUGAGAUUAAUGGUACAGUGAAACAGGCCCACUGCUUGUGGCUCAUUCUACUAAAACGGAAUUAGAUUCAUAAUAUGAACAUAUGGAAGCAGUUCCCUUCAUGUAUAUUUAAAUUCAAUAUUAAUAUUUAACACUUAUAUUCAGGGCUAUGAUUUUUCAGUCAAAAUACAGCAAAGAUUGGAGCAAAAUCUUCCACUGCUGCAACUCAAGAAGCAGUUAUUCAUUUCAGUAUAAUUAAUGUGGAUUUAAAGCUGAACCCAAAAGGAAUACUCCUGGUAGCAGACUGUCUAUGCAUCAGUUUUAAAUUUAGUCUUUAACACCUUGAGGUUCAAUUUUUAUUCUAAUGUGCCAUUCACAAAACAUUUCCUCAAUUUUAGAAGAAGGGGGAAAAAAUAUCUCUUACCAGAAAAGGAGUGGAAUGGAGUAGCAAUCUGUACCACCAGCCAGCAAAUUCACACCAGCUGAGCCUUACCCCAGAUUGCUGGAACAAUGUGUAACCUCCUAGAGAGAGAGAGAGGUGUAUCCCUGCCUAAUUAUAAAUGGCAGUGUGAAUUCCUGCCUCUGUCCAGUUACAUUUCCUAAAGAUAGUUCUUGAACAAACCAUCACCUCAAGAGUGUUGAUCUGUCUCCCACUAUCUCCCAGGAGCUCCUCCUCCUCCAGGAGGAGGUGGGAGUGGGACACCAUAGCCCUGAGGUACCAGUGGAACCCCCAAGAAUUCCCCUUUCCCCCAUUUCUCUCCGUGUCAUUCUCAGCACCGCAGUUUAAAAGGCUGGAGUAGCAUUCCCCACAGGCAGCUGACAGUGAAACAGACUUUUUAGUCACCACAGGGAUUUUCCCCACUCCUGCCGCUGCUCAGACACCUGUGUGUGCUGGCUUCACUGCUGAUUUUGGUGGCAGCUGUUUGAAUCCACACGUGACUGUUCUGAACUCAUCCCUGAGAGAGCAAUUCACAAUCCUCUGCUUUGGAGCUGGAAUGGGUGUGCUGAGAGGGCAGUCGGGAACCACAAAAAGAUGGAGCUGUCUGCUUUGAGUUUGGGACUGUAGCUGAUGGAGUUUGUGCACUUGCUGAUUGGUGUAUUCAGGCAUCCUAAACCCCAGGGUUUCAGAAGACAUGGGUUUUAGGAAAGACAGUGCUUUGCAAAUGCUUGUAAAUAAAAAAAACCCAAAGAUGUUCAGAAGUCCUUGUCUUCACUGCUAUUUAAAAAUAUAAAAAAGGCUGAAGUAGGCUGAAAAAGUAAAAACGGCUGAAAGCAGUUUUGACACAAACUGGGGACUUAAGAGCCCAUCUUCUUUCUUUCCCUUGAUGAAUGCAUCAAGGGAUGCAUUUCUUUCCCUUGGGAUGAAUGCAUCCCAAGAUGCAUUCAUUGUGGAUGUUAUGUGCUUUUAGUCUAUGCACACUUUGAUAUUCAAGUUUGCAAUUAUCUCCAAGAGAUCCCCAUACCCAGUGCUCCUGAAGUAAUUCAUCCCACCGUUAGCACGACCUGCUUCUAACAUAUGAAUAGUGUGGUGUUAACUUAAACUAGCAACAUAAGAACAAAACCAAUCCAUUCAUUCCUUACUCUUGUUAAUCUACUGGAUAUUCCAGAUUUUAAUGUACUCAGAAGACUAUGCUCUUUUCUCUUAAUAAUGAACAUUCCAAAUAUAGAGGAAAUAUAGAAUGUAGUAAACUCCCUACCUUUUACCUAUAUCCCUGUUGUUUUUUUCAUUUUUUCUCAUGCUUUUAUCUAGCACUGAAAAAAAAUGUUUUUCAGGGAAAUGUAG